GUGCCAGCCGCCGCGGUAAUACGGGGGGUGCAAGCGUUAUUCGGAUUUACUGGGCGUAAAGCGCGCGUAGGCGGCCGUUUAAGUCAGAUGUGAAAGCCCGGGGCUCAACCCCGGAAGUGCAUUUGAUACUAUUCGGCUUGAGUAUGGGAGAGGGAAGUGGAAUUCCUGGUGUAGAGGUGAAAUUCGUAGGUAUCAGGAGGAACACCGGUGGCGAAGGCGACUUCCUGGACCAAUACUGACGCUGAGGCGCGAAGGCGGGGGUAGCAAACAGGAUUAGAUACCCGGGUAGUCC
rnacentral:rRNA from 1 species